rnacentral:misc_RNA from 1 species
AUGAGCGGAGCUGUGCUACCAGCAGUUCUAGUGGUACCAAAAAUGGAGUCAGUAGUCGUUCCGAUUGCGGAGUCCACCGUCAUUAAUGCCAAGGACACAACACCAUCCACGGCAGCGGACAACGACGUGUCACCGUCCCCAUCGGAGCCAGACACAGAUGCGAUCAAGAUGUUCGUCGGCCAGAUCCCUCGCCAGUGGAACGAGACAGACUGUCGGCGAUUAUUCGAGAAGUACGGAUCAGUGUUCUCGUGUAACAUACUCCGUGACAAAUCGACACAAGCUAGCAAAGGCUGCUGCUUUGUCACAUUUUAUCACAGAAAAGACGCGAUAGAGGCUCAAGGAGCCCUUCACAAUAUAAAGGUUAUUGAAGGAAUGCAUCAUCCGGUACAAAUGAAACCAGCUGAUACUGAGAACCGAAAUGAACGAAAACUUUUCAUCGGCCAGCUCAGCAAGAAGCACAACGAGGAGAAUCUGCGUGAGAUUUUUGCCAAAUUCGGCCAUAUUGAAGAUUGUAGUGUGCUUCGUGAUCAGGACGGAAAAAGUCGAGGAUGUGCAUUUGUAACGUUCACAAACCGCAGCUGUGCCGUCGUCGCCACCAAAGAAAUGCAUCACUCGCAAACGAUGGAGGGAUGCUCAGCGCCGCUUGUUGUAAAGUUCGCUGACACUCAAAAAGACAAAGACGUGAAGACGAAAUCAAUGAUCACUGGAAGUGGAGCCGGUUCACCGAAAGGAGGCGCGGCAAGCUUGCUUCAAAACUUGAAUCCGGCGCUGUUGCAGCAGCUCGGCGGUGGACAAAACUAUCAAGCAGUAGCCUCACUUUUGUCUCUUAUCAACGGACAACAGGGACAACAACAGCAGCACCAACAGCAACAAAAUGUUUUAGGAAUUUUGGGAACAGUGCUCUCUGCGCUCGGCAAGCUAACCGAAGGCGGUGACGACGCGUCGGCAAAGUCCUCAUCGGAAAAGCCACGCCACCAAGCGUUGAUGACGUCACCGGCACCGACUGCCACGUCAUCAACCUCAUCGUCGGCUUCACAUCAUCACCAGCAGCAUCAGCAGCAGUUAUCACAGCAACAACAACAACAACAACAUCCGCAGCAACAAGGUUUAGGUAACCCAUUGCUUGGAAAUCCAGCUAUGGCUGCUCAAAAUCAAUUCGACGCUAUCACAAUGGCACAGAUUGCUCAUCAACAGCAAAUGCUGGCACUCCAAGGGUUCGCCGUGCAACAGGGCGCUCCAAGCCAACAGCAACAAGGACUUGCCGGUGGAAUGGCUGGUGCAAAGACUACAUCACCAGUCGCUGCAUCGCUCGCCAAUCAUCAACAGAUUGCGUUGACCCCAUUUGCAGGAGGAGCCGCCGCUUUGGAUCAUUUCCAGGCUAUGCAGCAAUAUGCACUCCUUGCAAAUCUUCAAGCAACCGGCGGCGUUGGCGUGCAGGCCACAACCUCAGCAGCUCAAAUGGUUGGAAACGGUGACGUAAAGGGUCCAGACGGUGCGAAUCUCUUCAUAUAUCACUUACCACAAGAUUUUGGAGACAGUGACUUGAUAAAUACGUUUGCGCCGUUUGGUGGAAUACUGUCGGCGAAGGUUUUCAUCGAUAAAGUCACGAAUUUGUCGAAAUGCUUUGGUGAGUUUUAUCUUUUUCAGAAAAAAAAUUCGAAAAUUUUCAGUUUUUUCUUGUCAAAAAAAAAUCUAAAAAAAUUGUAGUUUUUCAGGGAAAAUUGAAACAUUUUUAGUUUUUUAUUGUAAAAAAGGCAAACGAAAACUGCCAGAAUUGAAAUUUCCGGAAUUUAAAACUUCCGAGAAAUUGCUGAUUUGCCGAAUUUGCCGGAAAAACGGCAAAUUGUGGUUUUACACAUUUUUUUGGAAACUUCAGAAUUUCAAUUUUAAUCGGCAAAAUUGUACGCAUCCUAUGAAUGUUCCAACAUCUAUUUUGAGAAAUAAGCAAACUCUAUAAAAAUAUCUAAAGAAAAUGGGAAAAAAAUUUCAAAAUGCACCCGGUAAAUCGGUAAAUCAGUAAACCAGCAAUUUGCCGAAUUUGUCGACAAAAAAUAUUUGCCGAACGGCAAUUGCCGCCCACCCCUGUCGAUGUUCAACAAAUUUACAAAAAUAAACAACUUGUUGCCCAAUUUUUGAAAUAUAUCAAAAUUUCCAGGUUUCGUCUCGUAUGAGAACGCUCAGUCAGCUACAAACGCAAUUUCUGCAAUGAACGGCUUCCAAAUUGGUUCGAAACGACUGAAAGUACAGUUGAAAGUGGAUCGUGGAAAUCCUUACAAUCGAUAA